GAGGGCAGAGGUCAGUGGUAGAGCACAUGCUUAGCACGCAUAAGGUCCUGGGUUCAAUCCCUGGUACCUCCA
rnacentral:tRNA from 1 species